CAGGCUCCACCCCUUGCACGGCGGUCCUCUUUGUUGGCAAACAGUCCUUGGGACUUGGGCUCGGGGUAGAGUCGCGGUCUCCCCAGUCCGUCUCUGCGUUUGGGCGGGGAAAAGCUGCCGUAGGUAUAACCAGCGCCUCCUGUUACGUAAAGCAGUGUAGCGGUAGCCCUCUUACCUCCCCAGCUUCCAGCGCGCCCCACCCCUCGGCUUCCCGGCGGGCUCGCAGACCCAGGAAGGAAAAGACGUGCCCAGUGUCUGCCUUCCCCUCCUUCCCUGCCCCCAGCGGCCAGCUCCUCCAAGUAUGCUUCAUCCUCUGUGGCCCACUCUGCCCUGCAGGAGCUGCAUCCUGGACCUUGUAACCAGUCAGCACUCUCACCUGUUUACCUGCCUCCCCAGUGCCUGAUGCCAUCACCACUUAAGAGACGUUGCUGCUUCAGCAAGUUGUCCCAUAAAUCGGUGACUGGUGGUGAUUUUCCUUUGCCUGGAAUACCUUUCCCUUCUUCACCUGGCUAAUUUAUUCCUAAAGACUCUCCGUCGCAUGUGUCAUCCCUAAUAAGUCUCUCCUGACACCUCGCUCCCUCUCCUUAUCGUAUGGGGUUUGUUCCUGAAACUUGUAUGCAGCUUUAUCUGGCACUUUCCCCUUUACAGAAAAAUUGUUAUUUUUGGCGUUUCUUUAGUCACUAGGUUGUGUCCAACUCUUUGCAACCCCAUGAACUGUAGCCCACCAGGCUCCUCUGUUGUGGAAUUCUCCAGGCAAGAAUACUGGAGUGGGUUGCCAUUUUCUCCUCCAGGGGAUCUUCCCAACCCAGGGCAGACAGACUCUAUACCACUGAACCACUAGGGAAGCCUAUAGAAAAAUUACUUAUUUGUAUCUGCCUCCCUUGCUGACUGAGCUCCUCGAUAAUGUCCUGUCUGAUCAUCUCUGUUUUACAAGUACCAGAGCAGCAUCAGCCCAUGAAAGCAUUUUAGCCCUUAAGCUAAUGCAGAUCAAAUGACUGGUGCCAACAGGCUUUUAAAAUGCUUAUCGAAAUGUUUCAGACAUAAAAACCUUGUUGGCUCCAAGAUAUAUAUAAUCUCGCAGAAAAAAGCUAAAAAUGUUAAUGAAUGUGUGUCUCCAAUGUAUUGCAGUGUCAAUGUCCUUAAUUACUAAAGUUAGUAUUCACACAGUUUAUUCCAUUCUAGAAUAAUUGGUGCAUUAGAUUUUCUCUGCUUAUAAAAAUCCUCCCGGCCCAUAUGAUGAUUUCAGAGACAUGUCAGUCAAUCAUAAACUCAUUUAGUUGCUUGUGGGAUACAGUAUUUACCAAAGCAAAAUUAGAAGUCUUCCACCAGGUUUUUACAGUUAUACGUGAGGCAGGUAUGCCUAUGGCCCCAGGGAUUCCUGAACAGCUGCGCCUACACAGGAAGAUUCCAGGGAGCACUGAGACGGGCUUGGGUCCUUCUGUUUGCCAAGGGCCCCUCCGUGACCUAGUGUCUUACACCUCCGCAGCCUCACGGUGUCCGUUGCCUCCUGGACCUUGGAAGGCCCUGAUUUUCUGACUUCCACUCCUGGACUUUGAGCUGGAAGAGGAUGUGAGAUGUCUGAGUCAGUCUCAUUCCUCUUUAGAUGAGAGCAGUGCCAUCCAAAAAGGAGAAUAGAAUUGACCCACUGAACAUUGUACAAAGCUAGUGUAAAUAGCAAAGGCAGGACCAGGUCUCUGAGCACUAGUACUGUUAGCCUCUAAAAAAGUUAAAUUGCAAACACCGGCCAGUGGAAUGUUAAUUUGCUUUAGAAUCACCUGAGGAACUUAAGUGAGCAGAUCCUCUACCGUCUCCAGAUUCUAAGAUGGUAUCACCAGGGCAGUGCUGAGCAAUAUGUGUUUUUAGUGAGUUUCUAGCAUCUGACCACCUUGCCCCGCAGACCACACCUUAGAACAGCAAUCUCCUAAAAUAAUUCCCUGGGGUACAGGAAA